rnacentral:ncRNA from 2 species
CUGAUCAAUAUUAGAGAGAAUGACUUUGAAACAUAGCUAAAACGUUUUAAGGCUCAUCGCCGAAGGUGCAAGUAAUAAAUACGAAACUCUCAGGCAAAAGGAUAAUAUUGUAACG